rnacentral:rRNA from 1 species
CGUCGCCGCGGUAAUACAGAGGGUGCGAGCGUUAAUCGGAUUUACUGGGCGUAAAGCGUGCGUAGGCGGCUUUUUAAGUCGGAUGUGAAAUCCCUGAGCUUAACUUAGGAAUUGCAUUCGAUACUGGGAAGCUAGAGUAUGGGAGAGGAUGGUAGAAUUCCAGGUGUAGCGGUGAAAUGCGUAGAGAUCUGGAGGAAUACCGAUGGCGAAGGCAGCCAUCUGGCCUAAUACUGACGCUGAGGUACGAAAGCAUGGGGAGCAAACAGGAUUAGAUACCCCAGUAGUCCCUGUCUCUUAUACA